rnacentral:rRNA from 1 species
UACGUUUUGAUUUUUAACUCUAUUUGUUGUAGUAUCUUAAAUUUUUAUAUAUUUUUUACUUUAUUUUUUGUAAAAUGUUUUAAUUUGAUUUUGUUUUUUUAAGAUAUUAAAAAUUUGGUUUUUGAACUGGAUUAGUACCCAGGUAAUCAAAGUUUAUUAAUUCGGGAGUAAAGUUUUGUUUAAACCGAAAAAAUAUUGACUGACCUUAGAUUUUUCUUUGGAAUAUGUGUUUUGCUGGAGAGCCCUCUUUUUUGGUGAAUUUUGUUGGCACAUGUAUGAUUGUUUAGUUUUUAUUUUAUUUUGUAAUGCUUUUUGUGUUGGCAUUUAAAACAGAUAUAUACUUGGCUUAUAAAUUUAUUUUUCAUGUGUUACUAUUAUAAAUUUUUUUUGGAUUAAUUUUUUAUUUUUUUUUGAAAUUGGAAAAGAAAGUAAUUUUUUCUUAAUGUUUUGAUGAAUUUAAUAAAUAAGGU